rnacentral:rRNA from 1 species
UACGAAGGGGGCUAGCGUUGUUCGGAAUUACUGGGCGUAAAGCGCACGUAGGCGGAUCGUUAAGUGAGGGGUGAAAUCCCAGGGCUCAACCCUGGAACUGCCUUUCAUACUGGCGAUCUUGAGUUCGAGAGAGGUGAGUGGAAUUCCGAGUGUAGAGGUGAAAUUCGUAGAUAUUCGGAGGAACACCAGUGGCGAAGGCGGCUCACUGGCUCGAUACUGACGCUGAGGUGCGAAAGCGUGGGGAGCAAACAGG